ensembl:lncRNA
ACUCCAAACAACGGUGUGGUGACGAGUGACCUUUUCGAAUGACUCGGGAACUGAUUCAGGUGAGUGCUGCGGAUGAACAGGUGAGGAGUGUGCCUUCGAGGCUCAGAGACCUGGCUGACGGCCUAAUGCUGGGAGGCACGAGGAAGAAAUGGACAGCAGAGAGGGCGUUGGUGAAGUGUUAUGAAGAGCACACCCAUUGUCUCAUUCCAUAUAAGUUAAUAAGUCCCUUUCCAUCCUCUGAAAUGGCAGUGAAGCACUGAAAGAAACAGCUCAAGUGGAACAGCAUGGACCCGAGGUAAAUGCACCAGAUUUACAGCUGUAUAUGUGUAGACUCACACCCUCACCCACAUCAUGUUUCAAUAACCCUUCAUGGCAGUGCUCUAUAAAUGGCUGUCAGCUUAACAAACAAUCUGCUGCGACACAAAAUAGCUAUGAAAAUGUACAUGAGCUACACCAAAACAACACCAAAUAUCUCUGAUAGAUAUGACUGGAACGAUCACAACUGUUCAUUCCAUGCUCAGUGAAUAGGGUUUUCAGACUCAUUUAACCCAGCGCUAAUAUUCAGAGCUAAGUCACUAGGAGAAGCUCGUCAUUUCUCCCUCUCUGCAUCAAUGUGAUUUUCUUUAUCUGUCAGAGUGCAGCUUGCACAUGGAAUCUGCCCCGAGUACACGGCUGCUCCAGUGUGGGUGGAGAGUGGGCGAAGGUGCGUGGCAUCUGCCACAGUCCACCGCCUGAGGAGAAAUAGCAACACUUCACAUUCAAACUCACUUCCACUGCAGCCUUUACAAUGUUAGGCACUGGAUAGAUUG